rnacentral:lncRNA from 1 species
CUGUGAUUCUCGAGUGAAGAGUUUGAUUUUGAUGAUGAAACCCUCUCUGAAAAUGAGGGUAUAGUGUUAACCAUUGUGUAUCUACCGUUGGAAAAUCAUAGAAACGACAAAGUUUACUUUUUUUCGAAUUACGAAAGUGUGUGUAUCCGCUCGUUUUCUUUACUUUCGCGGAAAGAGAUGGGAGACUUCGGUGUUGUGGCGACGAUCGACAUUUCGAAAUGAAAAACAAAAACAAAGCCUUGGUGAAACUAUUCAUUGUGUGAUUAUUUACUAUCCUGUUGAAGUGAUUAAAUGAUUAUUCAAAAGAAAUUGAUAUCGAGUAUGUGGUGAAAAGCUUAUCUCCUUUGAAAACGCUUUGUGUUUUGAUUGACAUUACGUUGUGCAUCACCAUCUGUGGAAGCUUUCAUUCUCUUUCUCGUGAUCAUCUGAACAUGGAAGGUGUCUUUUGGCCUUCUUCCCUUUGAUGAUGACGCGUCAAUCUCAUCAAGUGAUCAUCCUCGCGUCUUUGCUAAUGGGCAUGACGCUUGCAAGGGAUGGCAACUUAAUAAGUGUUACCAGACCGGCGAGGCUCCCUGGCGACAGCACAGUGUUGCCAGACAAAGGCAGACGCGAGGUCACCCCUACGCUGAUCCUUGGGAGAACAGGUGUACCAGUCCAG